rnacentral:rRNA from 1 species
AACGAACGCUGGCGGCAGGCCUAACACAUGCAAGUCGAGCGAACCGCAAGGUUAGCGGCGGACGGGUGAGUAACGCGUGGGAACGUGCCCUUUGCUACGGAAUAGCCCUGGGAAACUAGGAGUAAUACCGUAUGUGCCCUUUGGGGGAAAGAUUUAUCGGCAAAGGAUCGGCCCGCGUUGGAUUAGGUAGUUGGUGGGGUAAUGGCCUACCAAGCCGACGAUCCAUAGCUGGUUUGAGAGGAUGAUCAGCCACACUGGGUCUGAGACACGGCCCAGACUCCUACGGGAGGCAGCAGUGGGGAAUAUUGGACAAUGGGGGCAACCCUGAUCCAGCCAUGCCGCGUGAGUGAUGAAGGCCUUAGGGUUGUAAAGCUCUUUCGCCGGUGAAGAUAAUGACGGUAACCGGAGAAGAAGCCCCGGCUAACUUCGUGCCAGCCGCCGCAGUAA